UUGGAGGGCAAGUCUGGUGCCAGCAGCCGCGGUAAUUCCAGCUCCAAUAGCGUAUAUUAAAGUUGUUGUGGUUAAAAAGCUCGUAGUUGAACCUUGGGCCUGGCUGGCCGGUCCGCCUCACCGCGUGUACUGGUCCGGCCGGGCCUUUCCCUCUGUGGAACCCCAUGCCCUUCACUGGGUGUGGCGGGGAAACAGGACUUUUACUGUGAAAAAAUUAGAGUGCUCCAGGCAGGCCUAUGCUCGAAUACAUUAGCAUGGAAUAUAGAAUAGGA
rnacentral:rRNA from 1 species